UCACCCCUCAAGCCCCCGGCUUGGUGUUGGAUGGUUCGGUCUUGGUGACAAGACCCCUCCUAAAGCUAAUGACGGCGGCCUGUGCGACCCCCGGUACACUGAGCUUCUUAAACUGAGCACGUACCGGUUUCAGGGUUGGCGGGACCCGGUCUUCUUCCUUAACCGGAAACUCUUUCCAA
rnacentral:misc_RNA from 1 species